CCGUGGCGGCUGCCUAUACAUGCAGUCGAGCGGACAGAAGGGAGCUUGCUCCCGGAUGUUAGCGGCGGACGGGUGAGUAACACGUGGGUAACCUGCCUGUAAGACUGGGAUAACUCCGGGAAACCGGAGCUAAUACCGGAUAGUUCCUUGAACCGCAUGGUUCAAGGAUGAAAGACGGUUUCGGCUGUCACUUACAGAUGGACCCGCGGCGCAUUAGCUAGUUGGUGGGGUAAUGGCUCACCAAGGCGACGAUGCGUAGCCGACCUGAGAGGGUGAUCGGCCACACUGGGACUGAGACACGGCCCAGACUCCUACGGGAGGCAGCAGUAGGGAAUCUUCCGCAAUGGACGAAAGUCUGACGGAGCAACGCCGCGUGAGUGAUGAAGGUUUUCGGAUCGUAAAGCUCUGUUGUUAGGGAAGAACAAGUGCGAGAGUAACUGCUCGCACCUUGACGGUACCUAACCAGAAAGCCACGGCUAACUACGUGCCAGCAGCCGCGGUAAUACGUAGGUGGCAAGCGUUGUCCGGAAUUAUUGGGCGUAAAGGGCUCGCAGGCGGUUUCUUAAGUCUGAUGUGAAAGCCCCCGGCUCAACCGGGGAGGGUCAUUGGAAACUGGGAAACUUGAGUGCAGAAGAGGAGAGUGGAAUUCCACGUGUAGCGGUGAAAUGCGUAGAGAUGUGGAGGAACACCAGUGGCGAAGGCGACUCUCUGGUCUGUAACUGACGCUGAGGAGCGAAAGCGUGGGGAGCGAACAGGAUUAGAUACCCUGGUAGUCCACGCCGUAAACGAUGAGUGCUAAGUGUUAGGGGGUUUCCGCCCCUUAGUGCUGCAGCUAACGCAUUAAGCACUCCGCCUGGGGAGUACGGUCGCAAGACUGAAACUCAAAGGAAUUGACGGGGGCCCGCACAAGCGGUGGAGCAUGUGGUUUAAUUCGAAGCAACGCGAGAACCUUACCAGGUCUUGACAUCCUCUGACAACCCUAGAGAUAGGGCUUUCCCUUCGGGGACAGAGUGACAGUGG
rnacentral:rRNA from 1 species